GCAUUAGUAGUCUAGUGGUAGAAUAGUAUUUUGCCAUGGUAUAGACCUGGGUUUGAUUCCUGGCUUGGUGCA
rnacentral:tRNA from 1 species